rnacentral:rRNA from 1 species
AUUGAACGCUGGCGGCAGGCCUAACACAUGCAAGUCGAGCGGGGUUUUCGGACCUAGCGGCGGACGGGUGAGUAAUGCGUAGGAAGCUACCCGAUAGAGGGGGAUACCAGUUGGAAACGACUGUUAAUACCGCAUAAUGUCUACGGACCAAAGUGUGGGACCUUCGGGCCACAUGCUAUCGGAUGCGCCUACGUGGGAUUAGCUAGUUGGUGGGGUAAUGGCUCACCAAGGCGGCGAUCCCUAGCUGGUUUGAGAGGAGGAACAGCCACACUGGAACUGAGACACGGUCCAGACUCCUACGGGAGGCAGCAGUGGGGAAUAUUGGACAGUGGGCGCAAGCCUGAUCCAGCCAUGCCGUGUGUGUGAAGAAGGCCUUCGGGUUGUAAAGCACUUUCAGUAGGGAGGAAGCGUUGUGUGUUAAUAGUACACAGCGUUGACGUUACCUACAGAAGAAGCACCGGCUAACUCUGUGCCAGCCGCCGCCGUAAAAC